UUGAACGCUGGCGGCAGGCCUAACACAUGCCCGUCGAGCGGAUGAAGGGAGCUUGCUCCUGGAUUCAGCGGCGGACGGGUGAGUAAUGCCUAGGAAUCUGCCUGGUAGUGGGGGAUAACGUCCGGAAACGGGCGCUAAUACCGCAUACGUCCUGAGGGAGAAAGUGGGGGAUCUUCGGACCUCACGCUAUCAGAUGAGCCUAGGUCGGAUUAGCUAGUUGGUGGGGUAAAGGCCUACCAAGGCGACGAUCCGUAACUGGUCUGAGAGGAUGAUCAGUCACACUGGAACUGAGACACGGUCCAGACUCCUACGGGAGGCAGCAGUGGGGAAUAUUGGACAAUGGGCGAAAGCCUGAUCCAGCCAUGCCGCGUGUGUGAAGAAGGUCUUCGGAUUGUAAAGCACUUUAAGUUGGGAGGAAGGGCAGUAAGUUAAUACCUUGCUGUUUUGACGGUACCAACAGAAUAAGCACCGGCUAACUUCGUG
rnacentral:rRNA from 1 species